rnacentral:lncRNA from 1 species
AACAUCAUGUAGUGUCUUCUUGUAUGUGCAAGUGUUAAUAUUAAGAGUUUGAGACAGUUUUGGCUUGACGAGUGUAAUUUUCUUAAAUCUGGCACUAGAAUUACAAUUUCUUACAAUGGGAGAGAUAUAGCAAGAAUACCAAGUCAAUAUAUUUCCAUGUAUCUCUGCACAUUAUUUAAAAUUACAUCUUGUUCUAAAGCCUUUUUUAAGGGCAUAUCAAAGUGUAAUUUUUUAAGGUGUUUACUGUUCUAUAUUAUACAGCUGGUAAAUUCAGGGGAGAAGCAUUCAUGUCCUCAUCAGAGACAUCAGGUAAGUUGGGAAGACAGGAGUCAUAUUCUGAGCAGAUGUGCAGUGCUUUUGGAUCAUGUAUGCAGGCAUUCUGCUUGAAAUGUGGAGGGAAUGUGUUCAUCUCUAAUGAAUAUGGCCCUAAGACUGCAAUUAAAACUGUGACUUGUGCUCAUUUCUAUCAACUGCUUCAGCUGUGCUGUUGUUGCUCCUAAUAGGCAAUAAUACUUAAAAUGACAUUAGGAGAUCCAAAGCAUGCUGCAUUUGCAAUUGUUUGCUUUAAAGUAAAUUUUGCUUCAUUGUAAGUGUCCAGCAUGAUUAUUUGGGAGUCAUUGUUGAUAACUGAAUGCUUAGAGCCAUUAUGACGUUGAAGCUAAUCAGCUUUCAGGAACUGACUCAUUGUGAGAUAGUAAAAUGUUUUCCCAUUCUGGCCAUCUAAAGAAGUCUCACUUAGUAAUAAUGAUUUUUUAAAAAAAGUAUUUCUAAAAGAUUUUAAACCAAAUGAACUUGGAAAACAGCUGCUGAGAAGAAUUUCCAGUAAAGUCUUUCAUCUGUGAGGUUCAGAGCAACCUCUAGGUCAAUCACUCUGCCGUAAUUUUUGAAAAUAUAAAUGCCUUAAUUAAGCAAGUUUUAAAUAGAAAGGGGAGCUAGAAAUUGUUGGCUUUAAUGUAUUUAUACAUCUAUGCUUUUCAGCAGUUGGGGGAGAAGUGUGCUAAUCUCAAGUCAAAAUGAAAUAUUUAUUAUAUCCUCAAAAUUUCUGUAGCACUUUUUACAAAUUCAUCUGCUUGGUAAGUACUGCCACAUGGUGUUAGCAUAACUAACUAACCUGAUGGAAGAAGAUACUCUUAUCUGAGGCAGUUUAAUCAAUCCUUAUGAUGGUUAUCAAAUAUAAUGUCUUCAAGGGGCCCUGUGUUAGAUUGUAUACUGAUGGGCAAGCAAUUGCCUAAUGGAGGACAUUGCAUGCAUUUAGUGAGUGGAAGCAAUGAUCUUGGCUGGAAACAAGAUCUAACUCAGAUGUUUCAGGCAAGUGCUUUGUCUGCUAAUGAAGAAGAAAUAGUAUUUCAAAUUAUACAACUUGUUACUAUUUACAAAUUAUUUUUUACUUGAAAGAGAAAUAUUUAAAAGUACUGCUCUGCCCUGAUGUCUUUUAUUGUUAGAGAAUUUGAAAAGCCUCCUUCUCAAUGAUCCUACACCACAAACAAAUAAAGUUCCUGGGAUAACUGUGGAGGGUGUUUGAAUCUAAACCAUGAUUGUAAAUCUAGUUAUAAAACUUCACAGAGCAGCAAGAUAACCAAAAACCAGACUGCUGUUAUGUUGGUGUUUGUGAGAAUAGAAGUGAACUUGGGUAUUUUGGGUCAACAUGUUCUUGUAAAACAAAUAAUUACAUACACAAUUAAGAAGUAGUCUUUACUGCAGGUACAGGGAUGUAAGCACACAGUCUGUGGUGACUGGGAUGGGGCUGUGGGAGCCUCAUCCCCAUGGGCACAGCUGUGAGCAGCAGGUGAGCAGCACUGACACAAUGAGCCAUGGAGUGCCCAGGGGCACUGAGCAACCACCAAAGGGAGCAGAGGGCACACAGGUGCCGUGCAUCAACAUGAGGGGAUAAAAGGUCAGGCUAAUGAACAAGCAGGUCAGUUGCUUGCAGCCUUGUGGAGUGGAAUGAUGUUGCUCUGUGUGGGCUGAUGCCUGAAGCCUUCUGAAGAGGUAAGGUGUUACUGUGUAUAGGGGAAUGCUUAAAGCUUUCUGAAAUUGUGUGGUGGUACUCUGUGUGUUGUGGCCAUCUCACAUGCUGUGACACAGGGAUAUGUUGCCAGAAUGGGCUGUUGGACAGAAGUGUUUUUUGCCAGCUGUGCUAUAUAACCUUCAGUUGUAUGUGCUAUCUGUAACCUUCAGUGGGUUACUGCUGAUUGAAGUGCCAUAUUACAGGCAACAAAAAUUGUUUUCUACCUCUACUGUCUUUUCUCUGCAAUGAGGAACCAGAUCCUGUUUUAUGGUCCUAUUCUGACUCAAUGUAAGCUCACAACAUCAUGGGGUGUAAUAUACUGAGUCUUUACAAAUCUGUAAUCAUGCUGCAAGGAUGUAAAGCUCAGUAACUACAGCCCAGUGUGAAAGGUAUUCUUGCCUAUCCUCUUCAGAGAGCUCUAAAUCCCAUUCCCUGAUUUGAAUAUGCUGGAGACACCGCCUGGUAUCUUCUUUUUUAAGAGGCACUAUGAAGCUGUCAAAUUUCAACACCUCUGUCACCAUCAAUUUUCUUGAGCUCAAAAUCCAACUCCAGAGUGUGGCUGAAGUUGUGCCCAUAUAUUUUCUUGGUUAAAGUCAGCCAAGGUCUGUAACUGGCAGAAGUGAGUGAAACAUCAUUUCCAGUCACUUUUGAAUUUCUCUCUUGAAAGACCUUUCCUGGGUUGCUAGGGGAAUGUUUUCAGUGUGAAGUUUGAGCUCUCAACACCGUGUGGUUACUUUCAUACCCUUGCAGUUUGUGGGUCUUCAGGACUCCACUGCAGCAGUAUCAAGGCAGUGUGAAUGGGAAGUUUUUUCUCUUGUAACUCUCAUGUAAUGCUUCAGGGUCUUGCCCAGUGGAAAAAUAAAAGUCCUUAUUAUGUUUGAGGCUUCUGCAUGGAUGCCAGUUUGUUGACUUAACUAGUCUUGUUAACAUACAUUUAUGUCUACAUAAAUACAAGUGAUUGACUCCAAAGGGCUUUUCUCUCAAUUUGAACAGUGUAUGCUCAAGGUUACUUCCCUCUGAUGAGCAGAAGUGAUAGAAAAUGAAUGCAGUAUUUCCUUUUUAGUGAUUAUCUCAAGAUAUGGUUUGUAGUCUUAGAACUGCCAGCUCUGGCCUUAUCACUGUAAUGUGUCCUCACCAUCUGUUCAGGGCUCUGUUGGUGAAGAAUGGAGGCUUAAUUGGUGCUUAAUAUUAAUUGAACAGUGGUAACAAAGGAAAAGUCAUUACUAAGGCUGAAGUGAAUUAGUACUAAAGAUUCUGAGGCAGCAGCUAUUAUUGCUGUUUACUUGUUGUCUGGAGCACUGGCUUCUGACAGAAGGUAGGAUCUUUGUAUGAAAGAACCAUUUACAAGAAUGGUAAUUUCCCACACAACACUCAAAGAGAGCCAGUGAGUAAUGGUGAUGCAUCCUCCAGAUUUACCCAAGUUCACCCAGGUGAUGCUGUGUGUAAGAAGGAAAAGGCAGAUUAAUCAUCAAGUAUAAAAUCUCAGUGUGCUGCAAGGAGAGUAAUGAUGAUUGCAACUCUUGUUGAGGUACUCAGAAUAUUUACAAUUCAGAGAUUAAAUUCGUUUCAUAUUGUAUGUAAAAUUAGUGCAUGUUUUUGAUCCUACAUAUUUGUUGUUAUCAUUAUGACAGGUUUUUUCAAAAUUUAGAAAAUAUGAGCAUAAGCCCUGUCCCGUUAUAAUUUGGAAAGUAAGGACACUGACCUGGGAUGUUCCAGAAUUUCAAAGUCCCUUCCCCUACAUAAAUGCUGAAAUCUUGAGAGCUAAAUUUAGCUCAAGGCAUCUUUAUUUAUUUCAAGCUGAAAAGAGAUCUAUGAACUCCUAAAAUUGCAACUUUUUUUGGUAUUGAUGACACAGUAGUUGCACUAAUAUUGUUGCUGUGAAGUCUAAGGGGUUUUUUUUAGGAUAAAAUUUACAGAAAGUAAAAAGAUGCAAAUUCCCAUAAACAUUUAAACAGAAAUAAAGAGUUUGUUGUUUUCAGCAUAAUAACUGAAAUAUAGAACUUCUGUUCCCUUUUUAAACAGAACCCUGCCAUAACAUCCAGAAAUACUUCCUAUUAAUAAUUUCUUUUUUCAGGCUUUGCCAGCAUGUAAAUCAUACCACAACUGGAAAAAGUUAAUCCCCAAAAUAUAAUGGAAAUCAGAAACACCACAAUAGCUAUAUAUGAUGUGUUGAGCAUUCACAAUGCUGAGCUAUUGUUAAAGGUCAGAAAAGCAGAUUGGCCAGCAAAUGAGGUGGUAUGCCUGGCUGCUGCUAAGAGCCCUGACAGAAGUAUCUUACUGCUUGAUUAAGCUGGUGCAGCACAAAAAUGGGUGGAGAGAAGAGAGCAGGUUUUUGUGGCUGCUGCAGAGCCCAGAUGCUCUGUGCCUUUGUCACAGAGUGCUGCCAGCAGAUUUUUGUACAGGCUGGAGAUGGGGCAAGGCCACAGCACAGGAGGCCUGCAGCUUCUGCUGCUGUGGAGUAGAGGAGGUGUGAUGGACCAAGCCCCUUCAAAAGCAUGGCUUGACUUGGAUGGAUUUUCCCCUCGGGAAUACUGAACACAGCACAACAACCAGAACACCUUCUGGGUCAAUGAUUCGGUUUUAAGGAUCAAGGAUCCAGAUGAGCAAAAUACUGGAGUUCUUCCCUUGAAUCCCAAUCUCUUCUAACUCAUCAAAGCCUUAGGUAUUUGCAGGAAUUCAUGUUAAACCUGAACAAAAAAAAACCUUUUCAAGUAUUCAUCUAGUUUUUCAUGGAAUGAGUUUUGUCUUGCUGUGUUUCAGGUUAUUUCAGUCCUUUCUGAACAAUCAAGGUUAACUGUGACUUUGGGUUUCUGCAGCACCAAUGUUUUUAAUUUCUUCUCAGUACAUAUUAAAAGUUAUACAUGCUUUAAUAUCUUGGUGAUAACCUCAUUGAAAAGUUCUAUAUGGAAGUAUCUACUGAAAGGAUAUUUCUUUGUCCUCCCACAUGGUACCUUUUUGAGAAAAGCUGCAGUCCUGGUGCCUAAAUGCUGUAAGAGAUCAGGUGCCUUGUAAGACUGCUGUUAUUACAAUGCUGCUGUUUGAAAGAGUUCAUUAAAUCUUUGUGUGGACAUUUUCACUUAAUGUUUCUUAGUCAUUUUC